rnacentral:rRNA from 1 species
AGUUUGAUCCUGGCUCAGGACGAACGCUGGCGGCGUGCCUAAUACAUGCAAGUCGAACGCUUCUUUUUCCACCGGAGCUUGCUCCACCGGAAAAAGAGNGAGUGGCGAACGGGUGAGUAACACGUGGGUAACCUGCCCAUCAGAAGGGGAUAACACUUGGAAACAGGUGCUAAUACCGUAUAACAAUCGAAACCGCAUGGUUUUGAUUUGAAAGGCGCUUUCGGGUGUCGCUGAUGGAUGGACCCGCGGUGCAUUAGCUAGUUGGUGAGGUAACGGCUCACCAAGGCGACGAUGCAUAGCCGACCUGAGAGGGUGAUCGGCCACAUUGGGACUGAGACACGGCCCAAACUCCUACGGGAGGCAGCAGUAGGGAAUCUUCGGCAAUGGACGAAAGUCUGACCGAGCAACGCCGCGUGAGUGAAGAAGGUUUUCGGAUCGUAAAACUCUGUUGUUAGAGAAGAACAAGGAUGAGAGUAACUGUUCAUCCCUUGACGGUAUCUAACCAGAAAGCCACGGCUAACUACGUGCCAGCAGCCGCGGUAAA